rnacentral:rRNA from 1 species
CAGGAUGAACGCUGGCGGCGUGCUUAACACAUGCAAGUCGAACGAAGCAACUUAUCACGAUCCCUUCGGGGUGACGAUUGUGACUGAGUGGCGGACGGGUGAGUAACGCGUGGGUAACCUACCUUGUACAGGGGGACAACAGUUGGAAACGACUGCUAAUACCGCAUAAGCGCACGGUACCGCAUGGUACAGUGUGAAAAGUUUUUCGGUACAAGAUGGACCCGCGUCUGAUUAGCUAGUUGGUGAGGUAACGGCUCACCAAGGCGACGAUCAGUAGCCGACCUGAGAGGGUGACCGGCCACAUUGGGACUGAGACACGGCCCAAACUCCUACGGGAGGCAGCAGUGGGGAAUAUUGCACAAUGGGCGCAAGCCUGAUGCAGCCGACGCCGCGUGAGCGAAGAAGUAUUUCGGUAUGUAAAGCUCUAUCAGCAGGGAAGAUAAUGACGGUACCUGACUAAGAAGCACCGGCUAAAUACGUGCCAGCCGCUGC